AAUUCGAUGAUACGCGAGGAACCUUUACCGGGCUUGAAAUGCAGAGGAAUGAGGUAGGAAACUUCUCCGCCAGCAAUGGUCUCUGUGUAGGUGCUGCAUGGUUGUCGUCAGCUCGUGCCGUGAGGUGUCGGCUUAAGUGCCAUAACGAGCGCAACCCUUAUCGUUAGUUGCCAUCGGGUCAUGCCGGGAACUCUAGCGAGACUGCCACCGUAAGGUGUGAGGAAGGUGGGGAUGACGUCAAAUCAGCACGGCCCUUACGUCCGGGGCGACACACGUGUUACAAUGGGGGGUACAGAGGGUUGCUACCAAGCGAUUGGAUGCUAAUCUCUAUAAAGCCUCUCUCAGUUCGGAUCGGAGUCUGCAACUCGACUCCGUGAAGCUGGAUUCGCUAGUAAUCGCGCAUCAGCCAUGGCGCGGUGAAUACGUUCCCGGGCCUU
rnacentral:rRNA from 1 species